CGUACACUCCUGCGGGAGGCAGCAGUGGGGAAUAUUGGACAAUGGGCGCAAGCCUGAUCCAGCCAUGCCGCGUGAGUGAUGAAGGCCCUAGGGUUGUAAAGCUCUUUCACCGGUGAAGAUACUGACGGUAACCGGAGAAGAAGCCCCGGCUAACUUCGUGCCAGCAGCCGCGGUAAUACGAAGGGGGCUAGCGUUGUUCGGAUUUACUGGGCGUAAAGCGCACGUAGGCGGACUAUUAAGUCAGGGGUGAAAUCCCGGGGCUCAACCCCGGAACUGCCUUUGAUACUGGUAGUCUUGAGUUCGAGAGAGGUGAGUGGAAUUCCGAGUGUAGAGGUGAAAUUCGUAGAUAUUCGGAGGAACACCAGUGGCGAAGGCGGCUCACUGGCUCGAUACUGACGCUGAGGUGCGAAAGCGUGGGGAGCAAACAGGAUUAGAUACCCCGGUAGUCCCAUGAU
rnacentral:rRNA from 1 species